UACAGAGGGGGCAAGCGUUGUUCGGAAUUACUGGGCGUAAAGGGCGCGUAGGCGGCCCGCUAAGUCGAACGUGAAAUCCCCGGGCUCAACCCGGGAACUGCGUCCGAUACUGGCAGGCUUGAAUUCGGGAGAGGGAUGCGGAAUUCCAGGUGUAGCGGUGAAAUGCGUAGAUAUCUGGAGGAACACCGGUGGCGAAGGCGGCAUCCUGGACCGAGAUUGACGCUGAUGCGCGAAAGCCAGGGGAGCAAACGGG
rnacentral:rRNA from 1 species